rnacentral:rRNA from 1 species
CAGUCGCCGCGGUAAUACGGAGGGGGCUAGCGUUGUUCGGAAUUACUGGGCGUAAAGCGCACGUAGGCGGCUUGGUAAGUUAGAGGUGAAAGCCUGGAGCUCAACUCCAGAAUUGCCUUUAAGACUGCCGAGCUAGCAGGUGAGAGAGGUAAGUGGAAUUCCGAGUGUAGAGGUGAAAUUCGUAGAUAUUCGGAAGAACACCAGUGGCGAAGGCGGCUCACUGGCUCAUACUGGACGCUGAGGUGCGAAAGCGUGGGGAGCAAACAGGAUUAGAUACCCCUGUAGUCCCUGUCUCUUAUAC